rnacentral:lncRNA from 1 species
GGCGGGCGGCCCUCCCCGAGCCUCGCUGCCGCCUUGCAGUUUGAUCUCAGACUGCUGUGCUAGCAAUCAGCGAGACUCCGUGGGCGUAGGACCCUCCGAGCCAGGUGUGGGAUAUAAUCUCGUGGUGCACCGUUUUUCAAGCCCGUCGGAAAAGCGCAGUAUUCGGGUGGGAGUGACCCGAUUUUCCAGGUGCCGUCCGUCACCCCUUUCUUUGACUCAGAAAGGGAACUCCCUGACCCCUUGCGCUUCUCGAGUGAGGCAGUGCCUCGCCCUGCUUCGGCUCCCGCACAGUGCGCGCACACACUGGCCUGCGCCCACUGUCUGGCACUCCCUAGUGAGAGAAACCCGGUACCUCAGAUGGAAAUGCAGAAAUCACCCAUCUUCUGCGUCGCUCACGCUGGGAGCUGUAGACCAGAGCUGUUCCUAUUCGGCCAUCUUGGCUCCUCCUCCUAUAUUUACUCUUUUAAUAGCAUUGCUUCCCUGUGAUCUCUAACCCACCACAAUUGAAAUGACAAGCGUUGAAAUGGGGGCCUCACGGUGGCGCCCUCUGCCUUUGCCGGCCCUUUCUGCAGCACGGAACGGUUCACGCCGCAGAGCACCGGUUCUCAAACUUGAAUAAUGCCU